rnacentral:lncRNA from 1 species
CCCUUCACUAGAAAACAUAAAUUAAAGCAUACGUAAAUUAAUCUAUUAAUUGUCUGCUUGUUUGGAUGAUGAUGACGGUUGGUCUGCUUCUGUGGAUGAUGAUGACGGUAAGUCAGUUGGCCGAACAAAUUUGCGGAGGAUGGCAUCCACAUUGUCAUCCUUUUCUGCCCACAUUGGAAGUCGAAUGACAGGUUUUGGCGUUUCCUCCACCAGCUCAACUGAUGGAUGACAAAUGUCAGGUGGAAAAACC